ensembl:lncRNA
UGGAACCCAGGUGAACAGCUUAGCAGAUGUUCAGAGGGAGAUGAUGCCACAUCUGGUCCAGCUGAUGGAAGGUCUUGAAGUUCUCUGACUGGCCUCGACUGAAGAUGGUCGUCUCACUGGAUUUAAGGUUCAGAUGCUCAGUAACAAACUCCACCAAUGAGCCAACAGGGAAGCUUUAGGUUUAUUAAAUGUUGCUGUGAAGGUUUCGCUAUUUUUCUUUGUGAAUGCAAUGUGCUCCAACUGAAACUUGAAUUAGAACUUAGAAGUAAAUCCUUCCAUCUGAAAGGAUUUAGUUGCAAUAAUAACCUCAUAACAUUCUAAUUUUUAUUUCAGUCUUGGUUGAAAAUAGAAUCUCUGUAUUGAUUCAGGUAAAAACUGAACUUCACAGCAUGUUGAAGCAAAACAACCAGAUGAAAACUGUGAUGGUGCUGGAUUGUCAGACCGUAAUGUUGCAGCUCAAAGCAGCUUUUCUAUCUCAGUUCAUUCUGACAUUCAGCUAUGAAUCAACACAGCAGAUGGUGAUCCAUGCUGUGGAAGUCUCACAUCUCCUGAUUUAAUGGAGCUGCUUUGCACUUUUUACACUGUUUAUUCACCAACACUUUAUUUAAUAAAAGUCCCAUCUAGUUUUUAUGAGGAAUGUGGUGUUUUAAUUUCUCUGUGAAUAACUGCGGUCUAAUGUAACAGCUGGAGUUGUAACAUCUGUCCUGAUAUUGAUCAUGAAGUAUUGAUCAGAAUACUUAUGGUCAGCAGUCAUCCCUGAAGUUUUACAUUAAAAUCUUUACUUGUGUUGUGAACUUUGGUACGAAGCAGAAACGUUAGCGUUGCCAUGGAUACAUGAGUGUUAAAUUCUGUCCAUGUUUCCAUUUUGGGAUGCAGUCCAGUUCCAGAAUGUGGAGGAAUUUAGUCUCACAAUCACAGACAACAAAUAUUAACUGAAAGUCAGGUUAUUGUUGUUUAUCAGCACAAUACAAAAAGAUUAAUGUUAGAAAUAUUCCAGUUAAGACUCUAGAAUAUCAUGAUUUAUGUAAAUUUACCUCAAUAAUAUGAAUGUUCAGGUUAAGAUUGUGCAGUGAUAUUUAUUAUGCAAGUUUAGCUGAUUAAAGUUUAUGACUCUGCACUAAAAUAUUAUUUAAAUUGACAUCAUUAUUAUAAUAUUUAGGGUCAGACCCUACAGUAUUGAGAUUAAGAAAUCAAAUAUUCUAUAAAAUGUAAAUACACUGAACUCAUUUGGAUGUAUUUAAGUGAGACUCUACAAUAUUAUUUGACACAAAUCUCUCUAAAUCAAAAUUUUAAUAAUUUUCACACCAAACAUUUACUCGACUGAUUUGAAUAUUAAAAUCACUCCUUUCUAAUCCUCUGCUGUACGUUCAAACCUGAGGCCUUAAAUAGAAACACACAAGUAUCUGUUUGAAGGAACUUCUGUAGAGUCCUGGUUCCAGAACAUGAUGAUAGAAUUAUAGACAAACUUUAACAAAAGCUGCCUGAGAGUUUACAGGUUUUUAUGUUGGAUUUCUUCAGUAAUUUAAUGAGCGUUAUCAGCAAUAAUCAAGUGUUCAUUUGAUGAACUUCAUUUCCUAAAACAUAUAGAAUUGGAGCUCAUAUCUUUGGCAGCUGUAAAGUUUCUGCUCCUUCAAAGAUCACAACACAAUGAAUGAAUUCCUAAAACACUCUCAAUGCUGGAGAGCGUUUGUGAUGCUGAAGCAGUGAUCAGUUUUUCUGUUUCUUCUCUGGAGAUGCACAAUGAGGGACGUCUGCAGAGACUGAGAAAGAGUCUCACCACAUCCUGACAUGAGGAAAAAGACUUUAUUGAAGACUACAAUGAGAAAAACCAUCAGACGGCAUGCAUUCAAGGUGAGCUCUGAACAUUUGAUCUGGAACAGGAAUUCAAUAACUGCAGCAUGAGCUUCAUUUCAGUCUGUAGCUGCUGAAUUCAUGGAUGAAUCAUCUGGCACUAGAGAAGAAGACCAUCAAACAUCCACGUCAGCUGAUGGAGGUCCAAGAGUCUCACCGAACAACCAACCUACAGAGUGAAGACCUCAAAUCUGAUUGGACGGCCUCCUAUUCAGCCACGUGUGAACAAAUGCCUCUAAGUUGAUUUGUUUUCUAAAAUAAAUCUAGUUUGAGUCCUAAUCUAUGCCUGUGUGUUUGCUUCUUUACACUGCUGUUAACAGUUUAGGCUGUUAGAUUGUUCCAGAUAAGACAAGUACAAGAUUCUUCAGAGCCGUUCUACCACGAGCCUGACAGGAAGAACUCCAACAGCUACUGAAUGUUCCUGUGGUUCCCUCAAG